UACCAGCAAUGACUUCGGUACACAUAAGUCCCAGCAGGAUAGACACCAGCAAAUGUACAAAGGAGCAUCAAGGAUGUGUCUAAGGAGUGGCCAGCAGAACUGGU